rnacentral:rRNA from 1 species
UGACGUGGACGCUAGCCUCGGAGAUUAAGCCAUGCAUGUCAGUGAAGAAGGGAACGGCGAACGGCUCAGCAAUGCUGCGAUGAUCUGUCCCGCGCGGGCAAUAACCACGGAAACCUGUGGCUAAUGCGCGGGCUGAGACGCAGUCCUAUCAGCUGGUUGGGAGUGUAACGGACUCCCAAGGCGACGACGGGUGACGGGAGAUGGGGGUCUGAUUCCGGAGAGGGAGCCUGAGAGAUGGCUCCCACGCCCAAGGACGGCAGCAGGCGCGGAAACUGCCCACUCUUCGGGGGAGGCGGUUACGAGGCGUGCGGAAGGGCGCAGUGCAAAGGGCUGCGUGAAGGCGAUUGGAGGGCAAGUUCGGUGCCAGCAGCCGCGGUAAUACCGGCUCCAAGGGUGUCCACGGUGGAUGCUGCAGUUAAAGGGUCCGUAGUCGGGGCUGCGGAGAAAGGGUGUUGCUCAGCGACACACGUUCUGCAGGAGCUUGCGGAGCGGACGGAGGGCGCGGUAUAGACGGGCGAGGGAUGAAAUGGCCAAGACCCUGUCUGGACCGGCGGCGGCGUCGGCGGCGCUCUCGGACGCAUCUGGGGAUCAAGGACGAAGGCUGGAGGAUCGAAGGUGAUUAGAGACCGUUGUAGUUCCG